rnacentral:misc_RNA from 1 species
GAUGAAGAACGUAGCGAAAUGCGAUAAGUAAUGUGAAUUGCAGAAUUCAGUGAAUCAUCGAAUCUUUGAACGCACAUUGCGCCCGCCAGUAUUCUGGCGGGCAUGCCUGUUCGAGCGUCAUUUCAACCAUCAAGCCCCAGGCUUGUGUUGGGGACCUGCGGCUGCCGCAGGCCCUGAAAACCAGUGGCGGGCUCGCUAGUCACACCGAGCGUAGUAGCAUACACAUCGCUCAGGGCGUGCUGCGGGUUCCGGCCGUUAAACCCCUUUUUUACCCAAGGUUGACCUCGGAUCAGGUAGGAAGACCCGCUGAACUUAAGCAUAUCAAUAGCGGAGGA